GAGAGAGAGAAUCAAGGAUAAUUAUGUGUGUACAUUGAUGGAACUCAGGGUAACGUUGUGUCAGGGUAAUGUUGAUAUAUCUCAGGGUAUGUCAGGGUAACGUUGAUAUCUCUCAGGGUAUGUCAGGGUAACGUUAAUAUAUCUCAGGGUAUGUCAGGUUAACAUUGAUGUUUGUUAGGGUAUGUCAGGGUAACAUUGAUGAAUCUCAGGGUAUGUCAGGGUAACAUUGAUGAAUCUCAGGGUAUGUCAGGGUAACAUUGAUGGAUCUCAGGGUAUGUCAGGGUGACAUUGAUGAAUCUCAGGGUAUGUCAAGGUAACAUUGAUGAAUCUCAGGGUAUGUCAGGGUAACAUUGAUGAAUCUCAGGGUAUGUCAGGGUAACAUUGAUGAAUCUCAGGGUAUGUCAGGGUAACAUUGAUGAAUCUCAGGGUAUGUCAGGGUGACAUUGAUGAAUCUCAGGGUAUAUCAAGGUGACAUUGAUGAAUCUCAGGGUAUGUCAAGGUGACAUUGAUGAAUCUCAGGGUAUAUCAAGGUGACAUUGAUGAAUCUCAGGGUAUGCCAAGGUAACAUUGAUUAAUUCAGGGUAACAUUGUAAGCUAGUCCAACAAAUGUCCAAAACAUUUUUUUUUUAAUAUUGUAAGGCCUUCGGCCUGAAAGUGACAGAGAUACUAUAGUCAACCCCUAAAUUGAUGAGAAGAGGU